CGCGCCUAACCCCAUUGGUGAAGGGGGGGUGAGAGAGGGGGAAGAGAUACAAGAACGUUUCAUGCACGUGGUAGCGGCCCUUCUAAUCUCAGCCCAGGCGCGCUCCUGCUCUCGACGUGCGGCCCAGGCCCGAGUUCGGGGGUGUGACGUUAGCACGGGCAGCGGCUCCACGUUAGACCCCCCACCAGGCGGGCAUCAGGGCUGCCAGCCAGAUACGGGGCAGCUCUGUUCUGCAGCAUCUCAAGCCUGUCGGAUUCCAGUGGGAAACAGCAACCCGCUGAGCUGGAGCUGCAGGGAAACUGUGAAUGGAAUGACACAACUACAGCGAUCACAGUAUGUGGCAGAUGGGAUGAAGUAAACAAGCAUUUCAGGGAAUCCUCAGUACCACACACAAAUAUAAAUUUAAAAAAUGGCAGAACUGAUCCUGGGCCUGCCUGCAGUAGUGCUUCAGUUGAGAGGGUGUUUUCUGUCACGAAUGACCUGUAGACAGCAGAAAAAUCCGGGUGCAACAUUGAAAUUGUGAAAGCCAUUCUCAUUGUCAAAACAAUCUCCAUUUUGCCCUGUCUUGAGUUCUUCAACAAACUGAGCAAGAACAUUAAAAUUCUAAAACAAAUACACUCAUCAGGGAAAUACAGCUAUUAAUCCAGCAAGCUUUUCUGGUGCUGCCAGCAUCGGGAAUACUGGUGAGUACAAUUUCUUAUGUGGGUCCCAGGGUGGGAGUUUUCCAUCUAUAAACUAUUUCUAUAUCCUAGCCAUUUUUGGGGAACUCAGAAAAAUUAAGAGGGACUCUUGUAUUACUACCCUGUUUCCCCGAAAAUAAGACAGUGUCUUAUAUUAAUUUUUGCUCCCAAAGAUGCGCUAGGUCUUAUUUUCAGGGGAUGUCUUAUUUUUCAAUGAAGAAGAAUACGGUACACAUCGGUGGAUGCCUUAUUAUCGGGGAGGUCUUAUUAUCGGGGGGAUGCCUUAUAUUACAACGAGAGGCAAAACUGUAAGUAGGCCUUAUUUUCGGAGGAUGUCUUAUUUUCGGGGAAACAGGGUAUACAUAUAAACUGUUUAAAACCAUUGUGUUUGUAGUUUUAUAAUGUGCCACUAGGUGGUGAAUGUCAUUUCUGUUAAUUCUCAUUUAAAUUAUUGCACUCUUUAUAUCCACAUUAUUGUCGAUUGUGUGGCUGUGUGAUGGUUGAUGGAGGUUAAUCUCUACGUGGAUUCUACUAGCAGAAGCAAUAAAGUCAUACUGGUUUUCUUGAAAUAUGGAGAU
rnacentral:lncRNA from 1 species